GAAUCACCAGCACUUGAUGGAGUUGGAUGGGGUUUGUUUUGUGGGUUUGUGUGAGGAUGGCUUGUAGAGAUCCACUAGCCUAGCUGAUGGAGCAUACCGUUUCCCUCCUUGGCUGUGAUCCAGACUGCAGAAGCCAAACAAAGCCCGGCACAGCUGCAAGCUGCUGGGAGCAAAGAGAGGACACAGCCACAAAGAAGCAUCACCUCUGUGCCCAUUCGGACAAAGGAGCCAGAGCCACACAGAAAAAGGUCAAAGCAGCAAUGGCCUGGCUCUCCGGGUGAGGCAGGUGGGCAGGAGCAUCAGGGUGGGUAUCCCCUCUGACCAUCAAUGCUGUCUUACAAACCUUUUUUCAUUAUUAUUUAAAACAUUGACAUUAUGACCAAAGUCUGAGAGACAACCUUCACCCCAGUUCCUACCUCCUACAUGCCCCAGCAUGCCAAUCAACAAGCUGAGCUUUUCGGAGUUAGCUGUAGUUCUGUUUUCUGCCCUCUGGUUCUAGUAUUUGGAUAUGCAGGAAGGGUGACCUUGUGACAGUCAGCUGCAAGGCUGGUCUGAGGCUUCUUCACUUUUCUUUGUUUUGGUCUAGAUUCCCUGAUCUGUUGGUUUGUUAUGUGAUUAUCAUUUUUCUUUAAAACUAACUUCAACCUCUUCUAAAGGUCAGAACUUUAUAUGUUAUCUGUCCUUUGAUCAUCUUUAAUGUAUGGAGUGAAACAGGUUGUUAAAACCUUUCUGCCUCAGGACAUUGAAAACAUCAUGCUUAUGAUACAUAGAAAAGCUGAUUACCUCUGUGGCAGACUGGUAAAAUCUCCAGGGUGUAACCUAGCCCCUGACCAAAUGACUGCUGGAUAUUACCCACAGCUCAUAAAAUCCUCUUAGUUUCAAGGAUUCUUUAAAGUAGUACAACAAGUCAGUACCACUAUCAUACAGACUUGACAGAUUCUAUGCCGGAUACACUUCAUGACACAAAAGGGCUUUAAACACCAACACUUCUCAAGAAUCCCCAAAUUGUUCCUCUGGCCACCCCCCUAGUACAAGUGCUCCUCUACAAUGCAAACUUAACUGUCAGUGCCCCCUUCAAGAUUCACCAAUCCACAACCAGGAUCAGAAGGACAAUAGAAGGCAAUCACUCCCUCCACCAAUCUCCUGCCUAGCUCAACCUGUGUGGAACUACUCACCUCAUCUACACCAAGGUCCACUGUUUCUCGUUCCCUGCAUCCGUUUGAAGACCUUACCAUCAGAAUCUUAACGCUGCUCCUCUGGUGGCUCUCCUGGCACAAGAACUCCUCUGUAACUCAUCACUCACCGACCUGCCUGUCCACCCUUCAAUGUUUCACUGAUCAGCAACUCCAACCUGGAAAAAAUGAACAAGGAGGCAGGAGGCUGCGGUCCAUUCAUUUAUAGCAGCUAAAAAACUCAGUCUAGAGGCAAAGGACUGCAGCAUAUUCAGUAUCGUUAUUAGAUGGAAGUAAAUGAAAUUUACUUUGCUGUUGUAUCAAACUUCAACUAUUUCUGGGCGGGGCUAAGUCCCCAUAUUUCAGGAUCCUAACAACCCUCUGGUGCAGCAUUGAUCACUACUGAAACACACACGUGUCUCUGAGACUACUUUCUUUUUCUAGGUUUUUGUUUUCCUUUAUACUAGAGCAACAUUUGCUGUUUGUCUGAUCUUAAAUUUUAGCAGCUUUUAAACAGAACUAAAAACAGCUGAACCCAAGGCUUCACAGAGAAAAUAAACUCAAAGGAAUGCAAAUGACAUUUAUUUUCAUUAGAAACAGAAUCUAUUCAUCUACUCAGAAUCCUUGUAGUGAAACAUGAAUGGUUCCUGCCAACAAA